rnacentral:rRNA from 1 species
GUGGAUUAGAUACCCUGGUAGUCCACGCCGUCAACGAUGAUUACUCGAUGUUUGCGAUACACGGCAAGCGUCCAAGCGAAAGCGUUAAGUAAUCCACCUGGGGAGUACGCCCGCAAGGGUGAAACUCAAAGGAAUUGACGGGGGCCCGCACAAGCGGUGGAGCAUGUGGUUUAAUUCGAUGAUACGCGAGGAACCUUACCUAGGCUAGAAUGCGCGUGACCGGUCCAGAGAUGGACCUUCCCUUCGGGGCACAAAGCAAGGUGCUGCACGGUUGUCGUCAACU